rnacentral:rRNA from 1 species
GAUGAACGCUGGCGGCGUGCCUAAUACAUGCAAGUCGAGCGAACGGACGAGAAGCUUGCUUCUCUGAUGUUAGCGGCGGACGGGUGAGUAACACGUGGAUAACCUACCUAUAAGACUGGGAUAACUUCGGGAAACCGGAGCUAAUACCGGAUGAUAUUUUGAACCGCAUGGUUCAAAAGUGAAAGACGGUCUUGCUGUCACUUAUAGAUGGAUCCGCGCUGCAUUAGCUAGUUGGUAAGGUAACGGCUUACCAAGGCAACGAUGCAUAGCCGACCUGAGAGAGUGAUCGGCCACACUGGAACUGAGACACGGUCCAGACUCCUACGGGAGGCAGCAGUAGGGAAUCUUCCGCAAUGGGCGAAAGCCUGACGGAGCAACGCCGCGUGAGUGAUGAAGGUCUUCGGAUCGUAAAACUCUGUUAUUAGGGAAGAACAUAUGUGUAAGUAACUGUGCACAUCGUGACGGUACCUAAUCAGAAAGCCACGGCUAACUACGUG